UGGGGUGUAGCUCUGUGGUAGAGCACUUGCCUAGCACAUGUGAGGCAUUGGGUUCAAUCCUCAGCACCACAU
rfam:Ictidomys tridecemlineatus contig011019, whole genome shotgun sequence.